ensembl:lncRNA
CGUUUCCACAGAUUGAAAGGCAUGGAGAGCGCUUUGGCGGUUCUCCCAACUGGAGUUGGAGUGGAGCUGAAGUCAAGCAUAGACAAACUUCGACAGUCACCACCAGAAGGUAUGGCCUGAGCAGCUCCCUUCAAAUACGUAAAGAUCGCAGUGUUGUUCUUUGGUAAACCAAAAAGAGUCCUUACCAAAUGCAGGUGAAUGUAAGCAAUUUGCAAGUGGCCUCCCAUUGACAGAAAUCUUGUUUGUCUUGGUUUUUUUCCUCAGGCUGCACGCCCCCUCGCCCUGUGGGUUUUCGUAAGUACUUCAUUGUCGUACAUGGGUUAUGGGUAAAGUUCAAGCCCAUUAGAAGCUGUACAUAAUGGUUUUCUUAUAUUUUUCUUGCUUUGUCUUCCUUCUCGCCAGUGCAAAGAGACAAUAGUGGAUGGUGAGUCAGAACACAGGAUGCUAGUUUGCGAUUGAUAGAUUUUCAUCAGUUUGUGAUAAAAUCAUGAGAUAGCUAGUAAGUUCUAGACCUCAUCUUUUGUUUUUUGUUUUUGUUUGCUUUGCAGAGGUGAGGCUGUGUGGAGGUGUCCACAGGUGAGUAUCGGUUUGGUGCCUGCUGAGAACAGAGAUAGGCUUUAAAGUGGUGAAAAAUGGAUAACAUGUUUUUUUGUCCCUUGCAGUGGUGGACCCGGGAGCCAGCCUCCUUCCUCGGCUCAGCUGUGCGACUUGGCCAUCUCUAAUUAUGCCUGCUCUCCGGUAAGUCUUCCAUGAACGGUGCACCUGAAUGCCUGUCCUUGCAAAUACUCCCAUUUCUCUGACUGCACAAAUCUGCCCACUUCUUUCAAGGUUGCAUCCUCCCUGUCCUCUGACGCCCUCGUCACACUGCUGACUUGCAAGGUGCCGAGCAGCGUGAACAGCAGCGCAGAGACGUGGAAGCUUUUCUUCCAGAAAGUCGCGGGAGUUCUGGAGGUUGCUCUGUCAGCGUACUCCAACAACGUGAGUGACACCCCUGCUUUCUGGAACAGGAGAUGGAGUGCUGUCUCUGGGCUCUACAUUGAGAUAUGUCCCUUUGCUUUCACAGACCCUCGGUGGCCAUCAGCCUGAGUCCCGUGUUCUCGAUGCCAUUGGAGAGGUGAAAGUCAACAACUUCAGCGCCGCACAACUGGCAGAUGUCAGCUUCAUUACCGACUGGUUCCAGGGAAGGCUGAGACCAUUCUUGCCUGCAGUCUCCAGGGACUUCCUGUCCUGCCUUAGCUCCAAGAACUUCAGUUGCGACACCUACCAAGUUGUGGUGCAGGCUCUAAGUCGUCAAGCGUCCCUCAUGGAGGUGGGGCAACAACGGGUCGUCUUCACUGAAUUUGUCAAUCCCUUCCUCUCGAGAGACGACCUACCAGGUACUUUAAGCCCUAUCAAUGUCUUGAGUUGCCACCCGUCAUGCUGUAGUUCCUUAGGCAUCCUUCAGCGUCUCGGCUUGUCACGGGUGUUUCGCCAGUUCAAAGGUGUUCUGUUUAAUUCCCCCGAUGUUCAAUCCAGAUCCUGCCUGUCUUGCCAAUACUACGAGCAGCGCUGA